UACGUAGGGUGCGAGCGUUAAUCGGAAUUACUGGGCGUAAAGCGUGCGCAGGCGGUGAUGUAAGACAGGUGUGAAAUCCCCGGGCUUAACCUGGGAACUGCAUUGGUGACUGCAUCGCUCGAGUAUGGCAGAGGGGGGUAGAAUUCCACGUGUAGCAGUGAAAUGCGUAGAGAUGUGGAGGAAUACCGAUGGCGAAGGCAGCCCCCUGGGUCAAUACUGACGCUCAUGCACGAAAGCGUGGGGAGCAAACAGG
rnacentral:rRNA from 1 species